GUGAAUCAUCAAAUUUUUGAACGCAAAUUGCACUCUCCGGUUUUCCGGGAGAGGAUGCCUGUUUAAGGGUCAGCCUAAAAAAAAUCUACAUUGUUGCUGUUUUAUGGUGACUUUCGUCGGAGCUUCGUUAUCUUAAAUCUCGGUGUAAGCGACUUAAAAAUUUUUUUUACGAUUCUAAGAUUU
rnacentral:misc_RNA from 1 species